GAAAUACACUCUUGUCCUCCGCAGAGGAAGGGGAUUCUGAGUAAGAUGUCCAAAAAUCGCAGCCGUAAGUGGCUGUGUUUUUUGCUAAUAU